AGCUGCUUUCUGAGCUCUGAUAUGUCUGGUAUUCUUGGGUUCGUUGUGGAACCAGAAGUAUUAGACAUAUCGAAGAUCGGAUGAGCCUUAAACC
rnacentral:pre_miRNA from 1 species